rnacentral:tRNA from 2 species
CGGGUAUAGUUCAUUGGUAGAACGUCAGCUUCCCAAGCUGGAUAGGAGGGUUCGAUUCCCUUUACCC